GGUUAAGUGACUAAGCGUACACGGUGGAUGCCUUGGCAGUCAGAGGCGAUGAAAGACGUAGUAACUUGCGAUAAGCCCAGAUUAGGUAGUAACAACCAUUUGAGUCUGGGAUUUCUGAAUGGGGAAACCCACUUACAUAAGUAAGUAUCAUUAACUGAAUACAUAGGUUAAUGAGGCGAACCGGGGGAACUGAAACAUCUAAGUACCCCGAGGAAAAGAAAUCAACCGAGAUUCCGAAAGUAGCGGCGAGCGAAAUUGGACUAGCCCUUAAGCUUUACACGCGUUAGACGAACGGUCUGGAAAGUCCGACGAUACAGGGUGAUAGUCCCGUAGUUGACGACGUGUGUUCAGUGAAAUCGAGUAGGGCGGGACACGUGAUAUCCUGUCUGAAUAUGGGGGGACCAUCCUCCAAGGCUAAAUACUACUGACUGACCGAUAGUGAACCAGUACCGUGAGGGAAAGGCGAAAAGAACCCCUGUGAGGGGAGUGAAAUAGAACCUGAAACCGUGUACGUACAAGCAGUAGGAGCAGGCUUUGUCCUGUGACUGCGUACCUUUUGUAUAAUGGGUCAGCGACUUAUAUUCAGUGGCAAGGUUAACCAUCUAGGGGAGCCGUAGGGAAACCGAGUCUUAACUGGGCGUUCAGUCUCUGGAUAUAGACCCGAAACCAGGUGAUCUAGCCAUGGGCAGGUUGAAGGUUGAGUAACAUCAACUGGAGGACCGAACCGACUAAUGUUGAAAAAUUAGCGGAUGACUUGUGGCUAGGGGUGAAAGGCCAAUCAAACCUGGAGAUAGCUGGUUCUCCCCGAAAGCUAUUUAGGUAGCGCCUCGGACGAAUACUACUGGGGGUAGAGCACUGUUAAGGCUAGGGGGUCAUCCCGACUUACCAACCCUUUGCAAACUCCGAAUACCAGUAAGUACUAUCCGGGAGACACACGGCGGGUGCUAACGUCCGUCGUGGAGAGGGAAACAACCCAGACCGCCAGCUAAGGUCCCAAAUUACUACUAAGUGGGAAACGAUGUGGGAAGGCUCAGACAGCCAGGAUGUUGGCUUAGAAGCAGCCAUCAUUUAAAGAAAGCGUAAUAGCUCACUGGUCGAGUCGGCCUGCGCGGAAGAUGUAACGGGGCUAAGUAGUAAACCGAAGCUGCGGCAAUAUACUUUUGUAUAUUGGGUAGGGGAGCGUUCUGUAAGCGGUUGAAGGUGUGUGGUAACGCAUGCUGGACGUAUCAGAAGUGCGAAUGCUGACAUGAGUAACGAUAAAGGGGGUGAAAAACCUCCUCGCCGGAAGACCAAGGGUUCCUGUCCAACGUUAAUCGGGGCAGGGUAAGUCGACCCCUAAGGCGAGGCCGAAAGGCGUAGUCGAUGGGAAACGGGUUAAUAUUCCCGUACUUCUUACAAUUGCGAUGGGGGGACGGAGAAGGCUAGGUGGGCCUGGCGACGGUUGUCCAGGUUCAAGUGCGUAGGCUUAAGA
rnacentral:rRNA from 1 species